rnacentral:rRNA from 1 species
GUGCCAGCCGCCGCGGUAAUACGUAGGGACCAAGCGUUGUCCGGAUUUAUUGGGCGUAAAGAGCUCGUAGGCGGUUGUUCGCGUCGGAUGUGAAAGCUCAGGGCUCAACCCUGAGAGGCCAUUCGAUACGGGACGACUAGAGGUAGGUAGGGGAGAUCGGAAUUCCUGGUGUAGCGGUGAAAUGCGCAGAUAUCAGGAGGAACACCGGUGGCGAAGGCGGAUCUCUGGGCCUUACCUGACGCUGAGGAGCGAAAGCUGGGGGAGCAAACAGGAUUAGAAACCCGCGUAGUCC